GACGAACGCUGGCGGCGUGCUUAACACAUGCAAGUCGAACGGAAAGGCCCUGCUUUUGUGGGGUGCUCGAGUGGCGAACGGGUGAGUAACACGUGAGUAACCUGCCCUUGACUUUGGGAUAACUUCAGGAAACUGGGGCUAAUACCGGAUAGGAGCUCCUGCUGCAUGGUGGGGGUUGGAAAGUUUCGGCGGGUGGGGAUGGACUCGCGGCUUAUCAGCUUGUUGGUGGGGUAGUGGCUUACCAAGGCUUUGACGGGUACCCGGCCUGAGAGGGUGACCGGCCACAUUGGGACUGAGAUACGGACCAGACUCCUACGGGAGGCAGCAGGGGGGAAUAUUGCACAAUGGGCGGAAGCCUGAUGCAGCAACGCCGCGUGCGGGAUGACGGCCUUCGGGUUGUAAACCGCUUUCGCCUGUGACGAAGCGUGAGUGACGGUAAUGGGUAAAGAAGCACCGGCUAACUACGUG
rnacentral:rRNA from 1 species